rnacentral:tRNA from 1 species
GCCUCGGUGGCUCAGCUAGCAGAGCGGCGCACUCGUAAUGCGCAGGUCGUGGGUGCAAAAGCCUUUGCGUCGAUCACCACGUGGGUCCAAUCGGCACCCGUGGUUUACGCUACCUCGCAAAAGCGAAUCCCACCCGGGGCUCCA